rnacentral:rRNA from 1 species
CCAAAACGACUCUCGGCAACGGAUAUCUCGGCUCUCGCAUCGAUGAAGAACGYAGCGAAAUGCGAUACUUGGUGUGAAUUGCAGAAUCCCGUGAACCAUCGAGUCUUUGAACGCAAGUUGCGCCCGAAGCCGUCAGGCCGAGGGCACGUCUGCCUGGGCGUCACGC